CAGCCGCCGCGGUAAUACGGAGGGGGCUAGCGUUGUUCGGAAUUACUGGGCGUAAAGCGCACGUAGGCUGCUUUGUAAGUCAGAGGUGAAAGCCCGGGGCUCAACCCCGGAUGUGCCUUUACGACUGCAUCGCUUGAACGUCGGAGAGGUGAGUGGAAUUCCGAGUGUAGAGGUGAAAUUCGUAGAUAUUCGGAAGAACACCAGUGGCGAAGGCGGCUCACUGGACGACUGUUGACGCUGAGGUGCGAAAGCGUGGGGAGCAAACAGGAUUAGAGACCCCCGUAGUCCCUGUCUCUUAUAC
rnacentral:rRNA from 1 species